UGAAAUUCGCUUGUGGUAUUAUCUAAUGGA
rnacentral:piRNA from 1 species